UACGGAGGGGGCUAGCGUUGUUCGGAAUUACUGGGCGUAAAGCGCACGUAGGUGGUUUGUUAAGUUGGAUGUGAAAGCCCCGGGCUCAACCUGGGAACUGCAUCCAAAACUGGCAAGCUAGAGUACGGUAGAGGGUGGUGGAAUUUCCUGUGUAGCGGUGAAAUGCGUAGAUAUAGGAAGGAACACCAGUGGCGAAGGCGACCACCUGGACUGAUACUGACACUGAGGUGCGAAAGCGUGGGGAGCAAACAGG
rnacentral:rRNA from 1 species